rnacentral:rRNA from 1 species
AGCAGCCGCGGUAAUUCCAGCUCCAAUAGCGUAUAUUAAAGUUGUUGCAGUUAAAAAGCUCGUAGUUGAAUUUCGGGGUUAGUAGGUCGGUCAUGCCUCCGGUAUGCACUGGUCUCACUGAUUCCUCCUUCCUGAUGAGCCGUAAUGCCAUUAAUUUGGUGUUGCGGGGAAUCUGGACUGUUACUUUGAAAAAAUUGAGUGUUUAAAGCAGGCUAACGCUUGAAUACAUUAGCAUGGAAUAAUGGAAUAGGACGUUCGAUCCUAUUUUGUUGAUUUCUAGGAUUGACGUAAUGAUUAAUAGGGAUAGUUGGGGGCAUUAGUAUUCAAUUGUCAGAGGUGAAAUUCUUGGAUUUAUUGAAGACUAACUACUGCGAAAGCAAUUUGCCAAGGAUGUUUUCAUUUAAUCAAGAACGAAAGUUAGGGAUCGAAGACGAUCAGAUACCGUCGUAGUCUUAACCAUAAACUAUAGCCGACUAGGGAUCGGAUGAUGUUAAUUUUUUAUAGUACUUC